rnacentral:rRNA from 1 species
GAUGAACGCUGGCGGCGUGCCUAAUACAUGCAAGUCGAGCGAACGGACGAGAAGCUUGCUUCUCUGAUGUUAGCGGCGGACGGGUGAGUAACACGUGGAUAACCUACCUAUAAGACUGGGAUAACUUCGGGAAACCGGGGCUAAUACCGGAUAAUAUUUUGAACCGCAUGGUUCAAAAGUGAAAGACGGUCUUGCUGUCACUUAUAGAUGGAUCCGCGCUGCAUUAGCUAGUUGGUAAGGUAACGGCUUACCAAGGCAACGAUGCAUAGCCGACCUGAGGGGGUGAUCGGCCACACUGGAACUGAGACACGGUCCAGACUCCUACGGGAGGCAGCAGUAGGGAAUCUUCCGCAAUGGGCGAAAGCCUGACGGAGCAACGCCGCGUGAGUGAUGAAGGUCUUCGGAUCGUAAAACUCUGUUAUUAGGGAAGAACAUAUGUGUAAGUAACUGUGCACAUCUUGACGGUACCUAAUCAGAAAGCCACGGCUAACUACGUGCCAGCAGCCGCGGUAAUACGUAGGUGGCAAGCGUUAUCCGGAAUUAUUGGGCGUAAAGCGCGCGUAGGCGGUUUUUUAAGUCUGAUGUGAAAGCCCACGGCUCAACCGUGGAGGGUCAUUGGAAACUGGAAAACUUGAGUGCAGAAGAGGAAAGUGGAAUUCCAUGUGUAGCGGUGAAAUGCGCAGAGAUAUGGAGGAACACCAGUGGCGAAGGCGACUUUCUGGUCUGUAACUGACGCUGAUGUGCGAAAGCGUGGGGAUCAAACAGGAUUAGAUACCCUGGUAGUCCACGCCGUAAACGAUGAGUGCUAAGUGUUAGGGGGUUUCCGCCCCUUAGUGCUGCAGCUAACGCAUUAAGCACUCCGCCUGGGGAGUACGACCGCAAGGUUGAAACUCAAAGGAAUUGACGGGGACCCGCACAAGCGGUGGAGCAUGUGGUUUAAUUCGAAGCAACGCGAAGAACCUUACCAAAUCUUGACAUCCUUUGACAACUCUAGAGAUAGAGCCUUCCCCUUCGGGGGACAGAGUGACAGGUGGUGCAUGGUUGUCGUCAGCUCGUGUCGUGAGAUGUUGGGUUAAGUCCCGCAACGAGCGCAACCCUUAAGCUUAGUUGCCAUCAUUAAGUUGGGCACUCUAAGUUGACUGCCGGUGACAAACCGGAGGACGGUGGGGAUGACGUCAAAUCAUCAUGCCCCUUAUGAUUUGGGCUACACACGUGCUACAAUGGACAAUACAAAGGGCAGCGAAACCGCGAGGUCAAGCAAAUCCCAUAAAGUUGUUCUCAGUUCGGAUUGUAGUCUGCAACUCGACUACAUGAAGCUGGAAUCGCUAGUAAUCGUAGAUCAGCAUGCUACGGUGAAUACGUUCCCGGGUCU